UCUCUCUCUCUCCUGCUCGCUCUCAGCCUGAAGGACAAAUUGACUUGGUGCUUCUGCAGACCCCUGAUAGCUUAUUCAUUAAGCUCACCAUUCACUCACAAUUUAUUAGAUUUUUUUGGUCUUUUAAACUGUAAGAUGAAAUAUGAUAUUGAUAGAUUUCCUCCACAUUCCUCUUACCAUACAGUGGCCCCUUUUCAUUAUGGCACAGAUGAAGCAACCACCGGUCAAGGAAGCUUACAUUGAGCCUGCUUAUUUUGAUGAAAAUAUAAUAAUUGUUGUUGAUUUAUUAUGAUGGUCAUUUUAGAUUUUAAGUCCAAUGUCAAUGAUGUCAGUAGACUAGAGUCAGAAUAGCUGUUUGUUGGAUGACUGUUGACCCUUCACACUGGGAAACGCUGAACCCUACUCCUUGCCCUAGUGUCUGUUUCUCUGACUACAGGCUGGAGUGGCAGUUAUUUGGCCCAAUAGUCCCAGACUCCCGGCACCUUCGUUUUCCUGGCUCAGGUCAGAGGUAGUGACUGCUGAAAAGGGCAACACACACACACACACACACACACACACACACACACACACACACACACACACACACACACAGGAACUCUCCCUCAACAGGUUUGUAAGUGCUGGUACAGUUAAUAUAAUUGCUGAAGGUAAUGUCCAUCUUGAUGCUGUAUUGACAUUUGUUGACUGUUUAUUGUACUGUAUGUAUAUCGUGGAUGCAUGGACCUUUUGGUAUAUAUUGAACCAACAGGCUCAUAUUGAUCAGUCUUAAACUAGAGAAUGUAUUGUAGGAAUAUAUUUAUCUAUUUUCUAUAUAUCAGAAAAUGACAGUUGUGGUUUGGGAGUUGGGUUGAUGGUGAGGGAGGGAGGGUGUCAGUAAUAUCUGUCCUCUUAGUUUGCUGUAUAUGGAAAGGCUGUGAAUGGAGUCCCCCUUAAUUCCUUAGCCUGGCUCUGUGUCAGUGUUCUACUGUUUGAUCUCUCCGCUCCAGUACUUUGCACUGCUAUUGUGUGUAUGUGUGUGUGUUACUAGUAAGAGAAAGUGUGUGUGUGUGCGUGUUGCUUGGGGGAAAUGUCUUGUUCUGACCCCAUCAUCCUGGUGUUCAACAAAAUGGUUUACCGCUUCAGAACUUGUCCGAUGCUGCAGUUUCUAAGGAUUAAAAAAAAUAAUACCAACCUAAACCUUGUCAUGGGUUUCCUUUCUUCACUGCAUCACAGCCUUAUCGCUGCAUCACAGCCUUAUCGCUGCAUCACAGC
rnacentral:lncRNA from 1 species